ACGCAUCAAUUUGUACAGUCUUCAGUUGGCACCCCUGUAUUUUUCCUACAACGAAUAGCAAGAGAUUUCCUCUGCAUUAUUGUUAUGAUCGGAGCCCGUUGCAAUAUGAGCCAGCACGAGUCUCUGUUGACAGACGACCGGGCUCUGAGGUGUACGUGUCAGCGUGCAACAUAAAACGACAAAACAGGGAGAGAAAGGAAAAGAGAGAGUGAGAGGAGUGGGAGCACGCAUCGCUGGAUAUUAUAGGUUUUGGUAGCUCUCCUCGUGUAGUACAGCCCAGUCAGUAAGCAGCUGGAACCAGUUCAGUCUCUGCAAUGGCUUGUGUUGUAAAAUGGACGUUGUAAAGAAGAAAUAAUGAAAACAAGGACACACAAAGAAUCGGUUGACUUCCCUUCAGCCUGAUUUAACUCUGUGUUUGCUACAAUCACUUCUUUAUUUCUCCGUGCAUACUGC
ensembl:lncRNA